UACGAAGGGGGCUAGCGUUGCUCGGAAUCACUGGGCGUAAAGCGCACGUAGGCGGAUUGUUAAGUCAGGGGUGAAAUCCUGGAGCUCAACUCCAGAACUGCCUUUGAUACUGGCGAUCUUGAGUCCGGGAGAGGUGAGUGGAACUGCGAGUGUAGAGGUGAAAUUCGUAGAUAUUAGGAAGAACACCGGUGGCGAAGGCGGCCCACUGGUCCGGUACUGACGCUGAGGUGCGACAGCGUGGGGAGCAAACAGG
rnacentral:rRNA from 1 species